CCCAGACUCCUACGGGAGGCAGCAGUGGGGAAUAUUGGACAAUGGGGGGAACCCUGAUCCAGCGACGCCGCGUGAGUGAAGAAGUAUUUCGGUAUGUAAAGCUCUAUCAGCAGGGAAGAAAGAAAUGACGGUACCUGACUAAGAAGCCCCGGCUAACUACGUGCCAGCAGCCGCGGUAAUACGUAGGGGGCAAGCGUUAUCCGGAUUUACUGGGUGUAAAGGGAGCGCAGGCGGCCUUGCAAGUCUGAUGUGAAAGGCCGGGGCCCAACCCCGGGACUGCAUUGGAAACUGCGAGGCUGGAGUGUCGGAGAGGCAGGCGGAAUUCCUAGUGUAGCGGUGAAAUGCGUAGAUAUUAGGAGGGACACCAGUGGCGAAGGCGGCCUGCUGGACGAUGACUGACGCUGAGGCUCGAAAGCGUGGGGAGCAAACAGGAUUAGAUACCCGGAUACA
rnacentral:rRNA from 1 species